GGAAGAACCCCCGAAAUUUAACAUAUUAAAAACGGGGGAAAA
rnacentral:rRNA from 1 species